UGACGCUAAGGACAAACCUGUCAAAAGGCAGGGACGCAAAGCCAAGGGUCUAAGGUGCCUACCGGUACUAUGACAGCCUGCGGAGGGUGCCUGU
rnacentral:ncRNA from 1 species